GGGUGCGUACACACGUGGCAUCUGCCGAAAGUGGGGGAUAGCUCGCCGAAAGGGUUAAUACGCAUGUGGUGAGGGACGACAUCUUCCUGAAUCCAAGCGGGCACUGGCGCUUCUUGAGGAGCCCGCGGCCUAUCAGCUAGUUGGCGGGGUAACGGCCCACCAAGGCUAUGACGGGUAAGCU
rnacentral:rRNA from 1 species